rnacentral:rRNA from 1 species
GAUGAACGCUGGCGGCGUGCUUAACACAUGCAAGUCGAACGGAAAGGCUCCUGCUUGCAGGGGUACUCGAGUGGCGAACGGGUGAGUAACACGUGGGUGAUCUGCCCUGCACUUCGGGAUAAGCCUGGGAAACUGGGUCUAAUACCGGAUAGGACGAUGGCUUGGAUGCCAUUGUGGAAAGUUUUUUCGGUGUGGGAUGAGCUCGCGGCCUAUCAGCUUUUUGGUGGGGUAAUGGCCUACCAAGGCGUCGACGGGUAGCCGGCCUGGGAGGGUGUACGGCCACAAUGGGACUGAGAUACGGCCCAGACUCCUACGGGGGGCAGUAGGGGGGAAUAUUGCACAAUGGGAGCAAGCCUGAGGCGGCGGCGCCGCGUGGGGGAUGACGGCCUUCGGGGUGUAAACUCCUUUCGCUAGGGACGAAGCGCAAGUGACGGUACCUGGAGAAGAAGCACCGGCUAACUACGUG